CCCGCCUCCCUGGAUUCGCUCCUGCCGCGAGGGUUCCAGCCCGGCGCCACCUGCAGCGGUGUGCCGCCUCCUUGGAAACCCUCCGCUGCGGUGUGCCGAUCCUGCCCGAUGCCUCCCUGCCCCACCGCCCCCUGCAGCGGCUCCCUCCGUCGAGCAGCCGGUGACGCCCAACACCGGCCACCAGUCCGUGGGAAAAUGGAUUAGGACCCUGGAGGAGCUCACCUGAAGCUCGCCGGAGUAAAAAGGAAUCUCAUGAUGAUGAUUGCCAUAAAGUGUUCAUGGAUGACUUUGAUCAUAACUGUUUUUCAGAGGGACUUCGACAAGGUGUGGUUGAUCUUUGAUUCCACGCAAUCGAGGGAGUUCCGCAAGCUUGGAUUUUGCAGAUUUUCUUAGCUUUGCUGAUAGUUAGGUGCACCUGGAAGUGGUCUCAUUUUGACGUUGGGUUCCCUUGGUUGGUUAGAUCGUGCAAGGCAUCAUCAGCGAGCUAGAGCAGCAGGGGGCGCUGCCAAGGAGCAACUCUAGAGUUUUCUCACCUGCCACUUGCUGUGUGCCGUGGUCAGUCCUCAUGAAUGCCUCUAACUUGGUCUGCUAGUCCAGUUUGUGUUGCUUGUGGUAGAGUCCAAUGUAUUCGUCGAAACCUUAUUAUUAAGGGCAUGUUUGGUUCGUGUC